AGAGACCUCUCAUCAUCAUAUCCUGAAGAGAUAGAGUAAGAAGUUAAUAGAAAAUGCUACAUAAGCACAAAGUCUUCUAUCACCAUUGAUUUCAGUCAAAAUCAUGAUAAAUCUCAAAUUGACUGACUUAUUCAUGGAAAUACAAAACAAGGUUUAAGUUGGAGAAGCAAUGCCCUAAUGUAAUAAAAAAUAACUUUUUAAAUAAUGGUUGAUACUAGAAAAACAGUAAAAUAUACAGGUCAUGUACUCGUAAAAUGUACCAUGUUCAUGAACAAGUCCAAUUACUAAAACUCAAUCCUUAUAGAGAUUAUGGUUAUAUUUAUUUAAAAUUGAAAGAAAAUAAAUGUGAGGAAAACAAACCUUCAACGCCCUCCUCAAUAUCU
rnacentral:misc_RNA from 1 species